ACUAUGUCAGUGUCUUUUUUGUCCUAUAGUUGAUUGGGUUAAGGGGACCUGAAGGAGAGAGGUUUGCGGGCAUUCUAGUCCUCCUCCUUCGUCCCCCAACCUCGAAUAAUCAGACACGGCUUAGCAGCGAGGCCUCUUCAGCUACCAGGUUCUGUCAACCUAGUUAACGCUGUGAGAAACAGGAAAAACGACCUGCACGGGACACUGCUUUGCUAACUUCCAUUGGGGGAACCUCAGAUGCGCCACGCGAACUCGGAGUUGCGAAGCUUCGCAUCGAACGGAGGUCGGCGGCAACAAAAUGCACUUGGGUACCGAACACCUGGGGAGGGCGUCCCGCCGUGUCUGGGGCAACCACACCGAAGGCCGAGCGGCUGAUUCACGGUCCCCGCCAGGCACCGCCGGAGGGGCCCAAGCCGGAGCCGGGAGAGCCGCGGCACCCUGGAGCCCAGCGGGCGGGAGAGCCUCGUCCCAUCCCUCCGGGAUUCCUCCCAGAGGGAAGAAAGCGUCCGAGGGCCACGGCGGCCAGCCCGCCCAGCCUCAGGGUCUCGGGGAGCCGGGUCCUGGCCCGUUCUUCAGCGUUGGGGGCGCGCGGCCGCCCCCAGGGAGUCGCGGACCCACGUCAGUCUCUCCGUCGGUCCGUCCGUCGGGGCGCCUGGCGCGCAGCAGCGCGAGGGGCCACGGGCCUCGGAACUCGAAGGAGGCGGGACGAUGGGACGGGGGAUCUGGGCUCAGGUGGGACAGGAGCAGGGGUGCGGGGUCUUUACCGUCCGGCUCCGCGGGCCACCACCGCCUUUCCGCGCGGCUAGGGUUCCUCCACUAUUGUUUCCGGCCGCAGCAGAGGCGGCCGCCGCGCGCCUGGCCCCGCCCUCUCCCGCCGGCGCCAUCCCGUGAAGGCUGCGGGGAGGGUAGCGCGGCCGCGGGCACACCUGCGCGCUCGCAGGGCUGCUACGGGCCCGCCCCUCCGCUCCUGCACCGACGCCGCACCUUCGCCUCGAGUUCUCCUGUGAUUUUCCGUGUGUCUUGGCCGGAGUUUCUUACCGUUCUCUGGAACGUAGCUCCUCACACCCCCCUCGUCGAGUGUCCUAGAAUUCAUGUUUUCUGGAUGUUGGUUGUCUGCUGCCAAGUGAGAUGUGCCUUUCACCUUCCACCACGAUUAUGAGGCCUCCCUAGCCACAUGGAACUGACAUCAGAACCCUAGGUUCUCUGGUCCUGGGACUCUGAGACUUCCACAGCAAUCCUGCCCAGGCUCUCAGGCCUUUGGACUCAGACUGAGCUACUUCACUGGCUUUCCUGGUUCUCCAGCUUGAAGAUGACAGAUCGUAGGACUUCUCAGCCUCCAUAAACGUGCGAGCCAAUUCCCAUAGCUGCAAGCAGGUCAGUAUCAACCUGAAAUAACAAGACACCCUCUUCUUAAUCAUCUGAGUCAUUGGUAAGCACAGUGGUGGUGUGACAUCAGUUCUGAUUUCUAUGGGAUGGUUCUUGGAAAUGCU